rnacentral:lncRNA from 1 species
CCAAGUCAUUGCUUAUCAAAGUUGGAGAAAAAUGAACGAUCUUUUUUCCUUCUCGGCCCAGUCUCAGAUGAAGGAAGCCAGGAACUGAGGCAACCAGCAGAAAUAAUAGGAUGUGGGCUGAAGAGCAGAGUGAGAUGCUACCGGAGAGAUUGCAACCAAGAGAGAAAAGCACGCCGAGGAUUCAGAGUUGAAAAAGCCCAGGCAGGGCUCACAGAUCCUGGAGACUCUCAGGGAGCAGAUCCGGCCACGAACAGAAGCGCUGCUUGCACUACUAUGUGAAAGUGCUGGGUGGCAGGGCACCUCGGGAAAGUCUAGCCAAGCCCUAUUACAAGAAGCCCAGGGAAUCCACCCUGAGAAUACUUAACACUGGCCGCACCAUCCAAAAGAAGGGCUUCUCUAAGGGGGCUGGAAGCAUCUAUGAAAACUGUAUUUGCCCCUUUCUCAAAUGUCGCCAUCUCAGAAGACUGCUUCAUAGCUGGAAAUCGGGAUAUUCACGGGAGCUGAAUGGGAAAGAUAAUUUAUAUAUUCCUUUUUUAAAUGUUGUACUGCUUCAUAGUGGCACGUCUGCUGAAGAUCCACAAGCCAUCAGAUAAAGUAGAGGAUUUAGUAGAAAAUUGGAAGAACAAGACUAAUUUUGCAUCAGAAGAGAGGAUGCUGAGCACUGGAAUUGGUGCCCCUGGAUUUGACCAGGGUGAUUGCAAGGCGCUGAAAUUCUCAGCUCCAACCAAGAUUCUUAAUUCCAAGCUUGGCAACAUUACAAGAACAUAGAAGCGCAACAACCUCCGAGUGACUCUGUACAGAUGUGGGUAAUUAUUAAACCAGUAGCCACCAUAAUAGGCUCAUGUGACAACCACAUGCCUAUUCCCCUGGUACCAGGUAAUUCUGGAUCCAUAUGUUAUGAUGGGGGUAAAAGAGAGGGCACUAACUCUCAAAUUUACUUACA